GACGAACGCUGGCGGCGUGCUUAACACAUGCAAGUCGAACGGUGAACCCGCUUCGGUGGGGAAUCAGUGGCGAACGGGUGAGUAACACGUGGGCAACCUGCCCUCAGCUCUGGGAUAACUCCAAGAAAUUGGGGCUAAUACCGGAUAUGACUGCUGACCGCAUGGUCUGGUGGUGGAAAGAUUUAUCGGCUGGGGAUGGGCCCGCGGCCUAUCAGCUUGUUGGUGGGGUAGUGGCCUACCAAGGCGACGACGGGCAGCCGGCCUGAGAGGGUGACCGGCCACACUGGGACUGAGACACGGCCCAGACUCCUACGGGAGGCAGCAGUGGGGAAUAUUGCGCAAUGGGCGAAAGCCUGACGCAGCGACGCCGCGUGGGGGAUGACGGCCUUCGGGUUGUAAACCUCUUUCAGCAGGGACGAAGCGAGAGUGACGGUACCUGCAGAAGAAGCACCGGCCAACUACGUGCCAGCAGCCGCCGUAACAC
rnacentral:rRNA from 1 species